CCUGAGAGGGCUAUCCCCCACACUGGUACUGAAACGAAGACCACACUCCUAAAUCAUGCACCAUGGAGGAAUAUUGGACGAUGGGACGACGCCUGAUCCAUCCAUGCCUCGUGAUCGAAGACUGCCCUAUGGGUUGUAAACUGCUUUUGUACAGGAAGAAACCUUUCCGAGUGUGGAGAGCUGAUAGCUCUGUAACAAUAACCAUCGGAUAACUCCGGGCCAGCACCCUCCGUAAUACCGAUGAUGCAAGCGUUAUCCGGAAUCAUUGGGUUUAAAGGGUCCGUAAGAGGAUUGCUCAGUCACAGGUGAGAUCCUGCAACUGAACUGUAUAACUGCCUUUGAUACUGCCGGACUUCAAU
rnacentral:rRNA from 1 species